AGUUUUCCACUGGGUUCAACAGCAUGUGGAGCAGGAAUGAAGCAGAGCUAGGUCUGACAGGAAAUCCAGCAUGAUGUCAGGCCCUGGGAGGGAUAUCAGAGCUGUCACUGCACCUACGUCCUUCAGCUUUUCACCUAUCACAAGUGACUCUGGAACUUCAUACAGUAGCUGGGAUUCAUCUGUUAGCCUUUAACUGUCCAUGACUCACUGUCCCCAAACUUGGAAGCAGGAACCAGUAAGUGCUUUGAUUUUUACAAGACUGUAGAUUAACAUAUCAGUGUAUUCUUGGUAUCCCUCUAUAUAUUCUUACAUAUUCUGUCAUUCUAUUUCCUCCAUUUUGUAAGCUUUGAUUCAGUAAUUCAGUUUUAAUGCUUGAGUCUACGUAAGUAAAUAAGUAAAUAAAUCUGUUGACCCAAGGCAUGUUGUUUAAAAGUGACUUUUGAGGAUGUACCUCAUGGAAAGUGUUUACACGAACCCUCCCCACUAUGAUUCAUGGGGUAAAGUCUGAAUAGAUUCAUUAACCAAUGUGUCAUUCCCAAGAGAAACCAGACACAGAAAUUUGGUCCUAUUCAUCCAAGUACCUUAGUAGUUGCCCCAUUAAGUAUUUCCCCUUAAACCUACAGCUCCAAAGAUGAGGCACUGUACUAUGAUCUAUAAGGCUGUUAUUUUCCAUGUCUUAAUUUGCUUAGCAAGACAGCACUAUAUGAAGCAAAUAAAACAUAACUUGUAAAAUGAAAGUAAUUAAAUAAAAUAAGUGAGGCUGUGACGCUGCAGGCCACGGUAUAAACAUGAGCAUUCAUUAGCAAGUUUUAAAUAUUUAUGUAUCAAUGUCACAAACAUCAGCAGCCAUACACUAUAAAAUUCAACCGGGAGGUGGGGCCAGGGCAUACACACCAAUGUCCCAAGACUAGUUGUGGAUAAUCUUCAAAGCAACUUUAGUUCGUUGAACCCUGGCCCUUCUGUUCGGUACCCUAUAUAUAGUACAUCAGCCUUUUCAUAAAUAGUUUCAGAAGUUAUGUAUUACGGUGGUGUGGCUAAAUACAGUACAGCUGACCUUCCUUUGGUAAAUUGAAGUUCAGAGUCCUCUUGCCAGCUGGUUGUCCCAUCUCUUCGAGCUGCCCUGAAUCUGUUUUCAUCUCCCGAUUCUGGAAUGACCUUCCCCCAAUCAGCCAAGAAGACAGAGUCAUGGGCUGUUUUCCACAAAUGUAUGAAUAAGCAC